rnacentral:rRNA from 1 species
AACGAACGCUGGCGGCAUGCCUAACACAUGCAAGUCGAACGAGACCUUCGGGUCUAGUGGCGCACGGGUGCGUAACGCGUGGGAAUCUGCCCUUGGGUUCGGAAUAACAGUUAGAAAUGACUGCUAAUACCGGAUGAUGACGUAAGUCCAAAGAUUUAUCACCCAAGGAUGAGCCCGCGUAGGAUUAGCUAGUUGGUAAGGUAAAGGCUUACCAAGGCGACGAUCCUUAGCUGGUCUGAGAGGAUGAUCAGCCACACUGGGACUGAGACACGGCCCAGACUCCUACGGGAGGCAGCAGUGGGGAAUAUUGGACAAUGGGCGAAAGCCUGAUCCAGCAAUGCCGCGUGAGUGAUGAAGGCCUUAGGGUUGUAAAGCUCUUUUACCAGGGAUGAUAAUGACAGUACCUGGAGAAUAAGCUCCGGCUAACUCCGUGCCAGCAGCCGCGGUAA